UUAAAGUUAUUGAUGGUUUAAUUAUCUUGGACCACGAAGACCCCGGUCGUGCUUCUGGUUUCCAUUCCCAUCAUCAUAUUGAUGGUAAAUCUCCUCGUGCUCCGCCAUAAGAACUUGGAGUCCGUAUCAUAGUGAAGGUAAGGUAACGCUGUGAUUCUUGCUCAAAAAAUAGACCGAACGCGUUCGAGUUAUUGGCUCGUCCGACCCGACAGCAUUCAUGAGUCGCUCGUUCAACUGUCCCUCGGAGACAUGGUCGAGAAGUACCAUGCAUCC
rnacentral:lncRNA from 1 species